UCUCUACUCAAAAAGUUUCAUAUGACCUAAACAAAAGAUCAUUGCUCAGUUCAAGGCUGGGUGCAGGUGGGGGCCUGACCGACGCCAUCGACUUUCCGGUGUUUGGUGCGAAUCUCCAACUGCUUCAUUCCCAGUGAUGUGAGAGGUGAUUUUUUUUUUUUUUUGGUAAAUUACACGGUAGCAGUACUCUUUCCGUAUAGAGCAUAAGCUGCUUCACCUGUGGAGUUGCUCUCUCUCUCUCUCUCUCUC
rnacentral:lncRNA from 1 species